CUAGACCUAUACAGAUAUAUUCAUCCGACUGUAUGCCUACGGUUCGAUCUUAUUCUUUUAACAUUCUAGUAAUAUUUAUCUAUAAUAAAAUCAGUAUUAAGGAAUAUGUUUCUUACAUAAACGUUAAUGCACAAUAAAAUAAAAUGUCUAAAUAAAUAUGUGUGCUUGUAUUUUUGCCUUGAAUUAAAACCUUUAGAAAAUAAUGGUAUUCUAUUUUUUUUUUUUAAUUUUAUUAACUUAUUAUAUAAUGGAAAAUCUUACUUAUACUGGUUGUCGCAGUUAUCUAUGUAACUGUAUAGUAGAAUUAUUUCUCUAAUUGAUAGUGCGGCGUUGAUCACUAUAUUGAUGACGUCAUUACACUAUUAAUAUUUUUCUUUGUAGACUAGAGGACUGAGCUUUUGUUGCUUGUCACAACUUCUAGUGACGUAAAUUUAGUGUGUGUGUGAUUUGCGUCAUUUAUCGUCUAGUACAGUCUCUCCAUUGUUUUGUACGUUGGUACAGAUAGACGUCUCUUUAGAGCUCUUGAAUUUCUCCUUGGGUUUUGUUAUUGGAUAGCCUUAGCAUUUGCCUUGGACAUUUUCUUGUUGGAUUAUCUUGACCCCUGUUUAGGGGUUUUAGCGUCAAGUCUAAGUUUUAGUCGUAGUCUCAGUUCAAGACACUUAUUUCAAGUUCUAGCGACAAGUCUAUGUAGUGAUCUUAGCUUGGUGUCAAGCCUAUAUGUUAGACUCAGUGUCAAGUCUCAGUGUCAAGACUUGUUUAUCCAGUCUCAGUUCUAUAUUGAGAGUACAACUUGAGGUCUACAGUCUACAGUCUACAGGACUGAGGUCUUCCUCCCAGUUGGUCGUUUGGUGUGCAAGUUGAUUCUUACAUGAGUCUGAGGUUCAAGACUGCGGGUUGUAGUGGUCAGACCUGAUGUUAUAGUGUAAACUAUGAACUUCUAUUUUGGAAUUGUCGUCAGUGGACAGUACCUGAUCUAGAGGCUAGAUCUACAUAUAUUACCAGUUGUUGUUUUGAGAUUGAAGGUCUAUGUGAUCCAUUGAACUACCUAUUAUAGUUAAAGUAAUAUAUUAUGUAUUUCAUAAUUAUUUGAAUAUUCUAAAGAUACUAACUGGAUCAUUUUAUAUUACAUAUUAUUACAUAUUGAUAUUUCAUACUAUUAUUAUCAUUCAUCAUGGAUCAGUCAUUUGUAUAUCACUAGAAUAAAUUUUAUUGUUAUUUACAUCA